rnacentral:rRNA from 1 species
AUUGAACGCUGGCGGCAGGCUUAACACAUGCAAGUCGAGCGGGGUGAUGGUGCUUGCACUAUCACUUAGCGGCGGACGGGUGAGUAAUGCUUAGGAAUCUGCCUAUUAGUGGGGGACAACAUCUCGAAAGGGAUGCUAAUACCGCAUACGUCCUACGGGAGAAAGCAGGGGAUCACUUGUGACCUUGCGCUAAUAGAUGAGCCUAAGUCGGAUUAGCUAGUUGGUGGGGUAAAGGCCUACCAAGGCGACGAUCCGUAGCGGGUCUGAGAGGAUGAUCCGCCACACUGGGACUGAGACACGGCCCAGACUCCUACGGGAGGCAGCAGUGGGGAAUAUUGGACAAUGGGGGGAACCCUGAUCCAGCCAUGCCGCGUGUGUGAAGAAGGCCUUAUGGUUGUAAAGCACUUUAAGCGAGGAGGGGGCUCUUUUGGUUAAUACCCAAGAUGAGUGGACGUUACUCGCAGAAUAAGCACCGGCUAACUCUGUGCCAGCAGCCGCCGUAA